AGUGAACGCUGGCGGUAGGCCUAACACAUGCAAGUCGAACGGCAGCACAGUAAGAGCUUGCUCUUACGGGUGGCGAGUGGCGGAUGGGUGAGGAAUACAUCGGAAUCUACUUUUUCGUGGGGGAUAACGUAGGGAAACUUACGCUAAUACCGCAUACGACCUACGGGUGAAAGCAGGGGAUCUUCGGACCUUUCGCGAUUGAAUGAGCCGAUGUCGGAUUAGCUAGUUGGCGGGGUAAAGGCCCACCAAGGCGACGAUCCGUAGCUGGUCUGAGAGGAUGAUCAGCCACACUGGAACUGAGACACGGUCCAGACUCCUACGGGAGGCAGCAGUGGGGAAUAUUGGACAAUGGGCGCAAGCCUGAUCCAGCCAUACCGCGUGGGUGAAGAAGGCCUUCGGGUUGUAAAGCCCUUUUGUUGGGAAAGAAAAGCAGCAGGUUAAUACCCCGCUGUUCUGACGGUACCCAAAGAAUAAGCACCGGCUAACUUCGUG
rnacentral:rRNA from 1 species